UAAGACAGAGGGGGCAAGCGUUGCUCGGAAUCACUGGGCGUAAAGGGCGCGUAGGCGGGAUGGCAAGUCAGUCGUGAAAUCUCUCGGCUCAACCGAGAAACGUCGGCUGAUACUGCCGUUCUUGAGGGAUGCAGAGGAGACUGGAAUUCCCGGUGUAGCGGUGAAAUGUGUAGAGAUCGGGAGGAACACCGGUGGCGAAGGCGGGUCUCUGGGCAUUUCCUGACGCUGAGGCGCGAAAGCGUGGGGAGCAAACGGGAUUAGAUACCCCGGUAGUCCACGCUGUAAACGAUGACGACUAGGUGUGGGGUGGGUUAGUCCAUUCCGUGCCGCAGCUAACGCAUUAAGUCGUCCGCCUGGGGAGUACGGCCGCAAGGUUG
rnacentral:rRNA from 1 species